CCUCCCCCUCCCCCCCUUUCUCUCUCUUCCUUUUGCUUGCUAGAAACCCUAGCGCCGCCUGCGAGUUAUUUCUCUCUCUAUGCCAAAAAUGGCAAAUUCACAAAGCAAUGGCAGUCCCAUGCAGCUUUAUCAUGUCCAUUUUGGUGAAAGCAUUUAAUGUUGUACCCGAAUUCGUGAUACUAAAUCACGAAUAUGAGUAUCAGGUCGAAUCCACUUCCGUGACGUGUGGUUGAUCGGUCGCAUCAGCUUUCUCUCGAGUUCUAGGGUGAGCAUGGUCGUCUGUUGCCUUGAAGACUUUCUAUCUUUAUGUCCUAUUCUAUUCAGAGACAUAGACAUUUUAUGUAUUAGUAGUCCAGAUUGUAUUAUUUCCCUUUAGAUGCUCUUGUGUUAUUCAGACUAGACCCUGGGGUGUCAUUGUCAUUCCGCACUUUCAACUUAUAUAUAUAUAUAUAUAUAUAUAUAUCAUGAGACUUACGUAUUUAUUCUA